UAAGGAAUAUUGGACAAUGGACGCAAGUCUGAUCCAGCCAUGCCGCGUGAAGGAUGAAUGCCCUCUGGGUUGUAAACUUCUUUUAUAGGGGAAGAAAGAUACUUUUUUUAAGGUAGUUGACGGUACCCUAUGAAUAAGCACCGGCUAACUCCGUGCCAGCAGCCGCGGUAAUACGGAGGGUGCAAGCGUUAUCCGGAUUUACUGGGUUUAAAGGGUGCGUAGGCGGGCAUGUAAGUCAGUGGUGAAAUACCGGAGCUUAACUUGGAAACUGCCGUUGAUACUAUAGGUCUUGAAUUAUCUGGAGGUAAGCGGAAUAUGUCAUGUAGCGGUGAAAUGCUUAGAUAUGACAUAGAACACCAAUUGCGAAGGCAGCUUACUACAUAUAAAUUGACGCUGAGGCACGAAAGCGUGGGGAUCAAACA
rnacentral:rRNA from 1 species